GAUGAAGAACGCAGCGAAAUGCGAUAAGUAAUGUGAAUUGCAGAAUUCAGUGAAUCAUCGAAUCUUUGAACGCACAUUGCACCCGCCAGUAUUCUGGCGGGCAUGCCUGUUCGAGCGUCAUUUCAACCAUCAAGCCCCCGGCUUGUGUUGGGGACCUGCGGCUGCCGCAGGCCCUGAAAACCAGUGGCGGGCUCGCUAGUCACUCCGAGCGUAGUAGUUACAUCUCGCUCAGGGCGUGCUGCGGGUUCCGGCCGUUAAAAGCCUUAUUUACCCAAGGUUGACCUCGGAUCAGGUAGGAAGACCCGCUGAACUUAAGCAUAUCAAUAAGCGGAGGA
rnacentral:misc_RNA from 1 species